rnacentral:lncRNA from 1 species
GGGUGGAGGGACGACGGAGAGACGUUGAGACGGUCGACGACCUUUGGAAUUAAUCAAGAAGACUCUUCAAAGUCGGGAGAUUGAAAUUUCUGUAUAAAUCCCAGGAGUUCGCUCUCCGUCGAGCGCGGAGCGAUUAGGGAAUACAAGAUGAUAGAGCAGAAAAGGUCCAGACGAGUCUGGGAGUUCUCAAAAGUGGAAAGCUGAUACGAGAUUGGGG